rnacentral:lncRNA from 1 species
AGCCGGCGGGGCCCCGAGGUCACCCCGGAACAAAAAUAACCAGGAUCCCGUAAGAUCUCCUGGAACAAAAGCAACCGGCGAGGCCCCGAGGUCAUCCCGGAAAUACAAAAAUGACCAAGAUCCCAUAAGAUCUCCUGGAACAAAAGCAACCGGCGAGGCCCCGAGGUCAUUCCGGAAAUACAAAAAUGACCAGGAUCCCGUAAGAUCUCCUGGAGCAAAAAUAGCCGGUGAGGCCCCGAGGUCGUCCCGGAAACACAAAGAAGACCGGGAUCCCCUAAGAACUCCCGGGAAAACAAAGUAAAAAACAGCUGGAGAAGGCCUUAAGACCAUCUCUAAGCAAAAAAUCCCCAUAUCAUAUGCAGGGACAAUUCAUAAAAAUACAGUUCCGACCUCACAAAAAGAUGCGUCCAAAGGCAUCAAAGCAAGGCCGAACUCCGAUCUCCCGAAGGAGUUCGGAGCACUAUGGCCAAAAGGUACUUAAAAAGUGAU